rnacentral:tRNA from 1 species
GCCUGGGUGGCUCAGUCGGUUGAGCCUCUGACUUUGGCUCAGGUCACGAUCUCAUGGUCCGUGAGUUCGAGCCCCGCGUCGGGCU